GAUUAGUUUAUUUUUUAUCAUGUGACACUUAUAUAAAUUCACUAGUAUAAAAGCACAUGUAUUUCCCCAAGGGAGGAAUAUUAUUUCACGAAGGGCCUUUACUCAAAACGCCGAAGUUUUGCUGGUAUUUUCGCAGUUUUCUGUCGUUUACUCAAUUACUCCGAUGACCUAUUCAUAUUCAUAUUCAGAUGAAAACGUUUUGUACAUAUCUAGAAAUACACUCAUGUAGGAACCUCUCGCCUUGCUAGCAAGAUCACUAUAUUUUCCAAACAUGAAGUAUUCGAAGUGGUUGUCAUGGUAACACGGUCAUUUUUUCUUUAUUUGUUUGAAAUUAAAAACAUCCUAAACA